UUCGUAGGCGGUGUGGCAAGUCGGGAGUGAAAUCUCUGGGCUCAACCCAGAGACUGCUUCCGAAACUGCUGUGCUUGAGUGUGAGUGAGGCUCGUGGAAUUGCAGGUGUAGCGGUGAAAUGCGUAGAUAUCUGCAGGAACACCCGUAGCGAAAGCGGCGAGCUGGAUCACUACUGACGCUGAGGAACGAAAGCUAGGGGAGCAAACA
rnacentral:rRNA from 1 species